UACAUGACAACCUGUCAUUCGAUCCCUGAGAUUAUUUAGUGCCAGAAGGGAGAAAGUUAUUAUCAAAGCUAUAAUCGAAAGGACGGUAUAAAAAAAAACCUCGAGAUCUAUUCUCAUCAUUCAUCGUUUGAACUCAUAAAUUUUGAGAAUACUCCGUUAUAAGUAUAAGUUAUAAACUGAGUGGAUACAUUUGAGUAGAUCACUACAGAUUGCAGAGGCACAUUAGACCUUCAACCGAAACAAAAGUCACUUGCCAAUCAGUUGUGGAGUUAGCCAUCAACACAAUUAAUUCCCAAAUAUUUCCCGAAAAUUAUCCUUCGUCACUGCACGUCACAAAAUAUAGGGAGCCCGGUGGCAGUUUCCCACAGGACCGAGGGAGGCGUCACAACUGAACAAAUACUCAAAUAUAUAAAUGAUCUGUAUAGAAAUAAAUAUUAAAAUAUAUAAAUACAAAUAAUCUGAAAAUAUCAACAAAAUAUAUCUCCAUAUAUAUCAAAGAAUAACACGUAGAAAUCAAAAUCAUUCUAACAACGAAAUAUAGUCCAAAAUAAGAAUAAAAAUAGGAACGAGAUAAAUGUAAGC